UACAGAGGUGGCAAGCGUUGUUCGGAAUUACUGGGCGUAAAGGGCGAGUAGGUGGCCAUCUAAGUCAGACGUGAAAUCCCCCGGCUUAACCUGGGAACUGCGUCUGAUACUGGACGGCUUGAGUAUGGGAGAGGAACGCGGAAUUCCAGGUGUAGCGGUGAAAUGCGUAGAUAUCUGGAGGAACGCCGGUGGCGAAGGCGGCGUUCUGGACUGCAACUGACACUGAAAAACGAAAGCCAGGGGAGCAAACGGG
rnacentral:rRNA from 1 species